CUCUUUAUCGGCUCCCUCCCUUUUUGUUUCUCAGCUUCUGUCUCCUUUUUACUUCUCCUCCUCCACUCCUAAUCUCCCCCUUCUUUCCCUCUUGUUCUCCCUCUUCUUUCUCACUCCCUUCUCCUCUAUUUGUCCCUAUGUCGCUCCAUCUUUCCCAGACAGGCUCUACAGGUCACUAGUUGAGGCUUCUUGGUUCCUCUGACAUCAGCCAAUAAGUCAUAUUUAGAGUGGGCCUUCCCUGGUGUAAGGCCCGCCCCCCACUGACCAUACAAGGUAACAGUGGAAUGCAUGGCUUGGCAGUCCGUCUGCUUCAUAAGAGAGACACAGAGAGCAGAGGGUGUCCCACACUGAUGAGCAGUCCUAUUACCGUCUGAUCUGAACUUCAGCUUAUUGGGAAAACACUGAAGCUUCAGAAGGAUGCCAGUGGGCAAACCUGCUCCUCAACUCAUCACUACUGCAAAAUCAGCCUUUUAGCAGUCAGACAAGUAAUUUCACCCAGGAGAACCAAGGAACCUGCCAGGGGAGAUGGCAAGCCUUGCGAAAGCUCAUCAGUCCAGCAGCGAGGCAGCCUGCCAGCUGCUGCAGAUGUUUAAUAAGAACACUGCUGUGUGUUGUCACGCGCCGAGACAGAUGAGGGACAAGGACAAUCUCAAGGUGUACAAGAAACCGACCAGGUGUUGCUGUUGAGAUAAUGAAGAUCAAAGAUGGAGAUCCAACCGAUUGCACUUGGGAUGUCAGAGAUGAGCAAGUACAGAGUCGAGCUAUUCAUCCCUGUGGCCCAUGGUGCAGUGCUGCAUCUCUGGUCAGUUGGUAGUCUGAGAUGAAGCACUGUAGCUCGGGACGGAGGACAGACAUAUACCCACAGCCAGGUAACGGCAUCCAGCAGCAGGGCUCCAGGCCUCUGGUUGGCUUCAGACAGGGAGGAUGAUAUGAACCAGCAUGCAACACUGCAAUCACAACUUGUGGGUCACGGCCUGUAGUUUCGAUGAGACUGGACCAACUCCCAAAGUUUGACAAGUUGUAGAAUUCAUCACAAAAUGAGGAUUAGGAACAAAUUUGAAAAUGUCACACCUUUGAUUAAUAUACACUAUAUAAUAAAAUAUGUUGUUAUGGUAUUUCUAACAAUUUUUUUAAAUGAAUUAAUGUAAGAAUGUCUCUUUAAUUUCCAUUAAGAUCUAUCAAAUGUAACAUAAUAAAUGUCAGAUUAAUGAAGUUGACCACAUGUUAUAAAUUAUAUGACGUGUGUCCGCCAAAAUACAGACGUGAUGUUUUCAAAUCUUCUAACACGAGAGGUAUGGAAACCACAGCUCCACGUCUGCAUUUGAGGAUGGGAUCCCCCGUUCCACUGGUGUGAUGAUGGAGGGAUGACAUCGUUCAUUUUUCUUCUCCUCUCUCCUGGGGUCCAGUUUUCCCAGGAAUCCCUUGACCUAUCAGAAAGGGGGAUUCCUGGAAAUACUGUUCUUGGGGGCGGGGCUUAUCAGCUAAUUCAUUUACAGCAUGUACCAUAAUUCUGUGUGGUGUGUGCAAUAAUGGUGGAUAUGUUUUUAUAGAGUUAGUUUUGACUGCAGUUAGUGUUUAGACACGAGAGAAAUCCAUCAUUAAUUAUUGUUUCAAUCCAGCUCAAAGUCACGUCAUGUUCCUGUUUAUGAGAUUUGAAGAUUCUAAUUACUGCUCAUUCUGUUUAAUAAACAUUGAAAAUAAAGAA